rnacentral:ncRNA from 2 species
GCAGGACGGUGGUCAUGGA